CAUAUAGCCUUGCAAAGUUCGCAAAUUUUGUAUACUUUUGUAUUGCGUGCGGAAAUUGCUACAUUUUCGGCCCAAAUGUGGUAGCAAUUUCCGCACGCAAUACAAAAGUAUACAAAAUUUGUUAUGUUUUCCGCAUUUUACAACAUUUCGCAACCAAACUUUGCAAUGUUACUCAUUUUAGUGUGCUCUUUCUAGCUGUGGUGAUUUAUUUGCAUCUCCUUGCCU